rnacentral:rRNA from 1 species
AGAGUGAACGCUGGCGGUAGGCCUAACACAUGCAAGUCGAACGGCAGCACAGUAAGAGCUUGCUCUUAUGGGUGGCGAGUGGCGGACGGGUGAGGAAUACAUCGGAAUCUACCUUUUGGUGGGGGAUAACGUAGGGAAACUUACGCUAAUACCGCAUACGCCCUUCGGGGGAAAGCCGGGGACCAGCAAUGGCCUGGCGCUGAUAGAUGAGCCGAUGUCGGAUUAGCUAGUUGGUGAGGUAAUGGCUCACCAAGGCGACGAUCCGUAGCUGGUCUGAGAGGAUGAUCAGCCACACUGGAACUGAGACACGGUCCAGACUCCUACGGGAGCAGCAGUGGGGAAUA